CACAGCCAAGAAGGAGGGAUGAGUGUGGUUGCUCACUAGCGUCAUCUGAAGACCCGUCUUCACCAUCUGAGACACGUCCAGGAUGUUUGGAUCGAUGUCUGCUGAGCAAGAUAUUCUUCUGAGAAUGAGUACGCAGAGCACGAACCUGGCGAUGAUGAGGCAGGCUGUGAGUGACGACGACGAUGAUGAUAAUGAUGAGGGUGUGAGUACCGGUGAUGAGUUAGGUUGGUGAAACCUGCCACUAAGCCAAGCCGCCUGUGUUCCUCUCCUCACUCCGUGGUCCACUACUACGCUUGCAGGCCAGCAUCGCCUCUACGAACCUCGGGGCUCUUUGUACCCCAAUCAAUUAAUGAGAGAAUGACUUGAUAAGCGUAAUUUUCAAGCAAAGCAACGGAGCUCCUCUGCUGUCCGCGGGUCAAUAAAUUAUCCAAUAGAGGGAGGUUAAUUCCGUCCAGUUUGGCUACCUGGUGUGUGACUGCCGUGCUGCCUAUUUCUCCAACGUGUGGCUGCCUUCCUUCAUGUCUGACUGCCUUCUCUCAUGUCUGACUGCCUUCCCUCAUGACUGGCUAACGUCUGUUUGACAUGGCUGCCGCCCCUAGCAUGUAGCUGCCAUCCCUGGCGUGUGAAUAGGGAAAAAACUUCGUAUGUUCCUUUGGGAAAGACCCCAGCUAGAACGACCAUUGUGGAGAAAGGGUUGCUGGGGAAGGCCCCAGCUUGAACGACCUUUGCUGAGAGGGGGUUGGUGGGGACGGCCCCAGCUUGAACGACCUUUGCUGAGGUGUUGGUGGGGACGGCCCCAGCUUGAACGACCCCAGCUUGUUAAACACAACCCCAGGAUAUACGCUGGGGACGCCCCUUCCCCCCAAGCUUGGACGAGCAGCAUAAGGUUUCCACACAUUUCAUCUCCAUGUCCACUCACACGAUGAGUGGAGCUGCCCAAAAAACUCGCCCCUCGGGGCAAAAUUUCAAUUCCAUCUGCAACCAUUCAAGUCCUGCACAGACUGCCAACCAACAAUAACAAUCUGUUACUUCGUCACACUUUGAUGUAUCACAAAAAAAAACCCACCUGAUGGAAAAUUAAAAUUACAUUCCAAAGACUUCUCAGUAAAUGAACAAAUCCACAAGGGCCGUGACGAGGAUUUGAACCUGCGUCCGGGAGCAUCCCAGACACUGCCUUAAUCGACUGAGCUACGACAUGGUAAGUAAGGUAUGUAAGCAUGCUAUGUAAGGACUUCUCAGUACUUUAUAAGAAGUUAGCUCAAGCGAUAGACAGGCUUAAGGAAGGCUGUAGCUUCUUAGAGCAAGAUAGAUAGAUAUUCAGGUUAGGGGACUGAAGAUCUGUUGAGGAGUAGAAGCUGUGUGUUUGGAGAUAUCAGAAGAGAAGAGAUCAGAGGUUUGUGGACUAUGUAUCAUAUU